rnacentral:misc_RNA from 1 species
UCCGGUUUGUCACCGGCAGUCUCCCUAGAGUCCCCGACAUCACUCGCUGGCAACUAGGGACAGGGGUUGCGCUCGUUGCGCCACUUAAGGCAACACCUCACGGCACGAGCUGACGACAGCCAUGCAGCACCUGUGCGGGCUCCCGAAGGAGCGCCGUGUUUCCACGGUUUCACCCCGCAUGUCAAGCCCUGGUAAGGUUCUUCGCGUUGCAUCGAAUUAAAGAACAUGCUCCGCUGCUUGUGCGGGCCCCCGUCAAUUCUUUUGAGUUUUAGCCUUGCGGCCGUACUCCCCAGGCGGAACACUUAACGCGUUGGCUGCGGCACAGGAGGAAGGUGGGGAUGACGUUACACAGACUAUAC